UCUAUAUUUAUUUUUUUUAUGUUUUUCACUAUACUAAGGGAAAUUUAAAGUAGAAACUCCAGCAAGAACUCAAGCAUCAAACAACUCCUCUAAAACAUUCCAUAAACACUUGAUCCCUCAACAAUGGAAAUAUAAAAGUUCAAACAAAACCCCUAAGAGCCCUAUUCAUACAGGCCCAAACGUUCAAGGCAAGAUUGAAAGCUACAUGGCAUACCAUGCCUAAUAGAAUACAGACACAUACCCCUUCAUUAUGAUUAUCAACUCAUCAGCACCAAACGUGUGUUUCCAUCAUUAGCUGGCAAAAACUCAAAUGACACCUCCCUCUAUUAAAAUUGAGGUCUUCACAGAGUGGCCCAUGUACGUGCCAUGCACCUUUUCUUUUUUCACACUUAUGUUUC
rnacentral:lncRNA from 1 species